UUCUUUUGACUUCCUGAUAAUCUUAUUUAAUCUUUAUUGUAAUUAUUGCUUUUAUAUCUCUAUUUUCACUCCAAUUCAUGUGUAUAAUGUAAUUUUACUUACCUGUGUGAUUAUUUUUGUCAUUUUACCCUAUUUGAGUUAUAUUUUGUCUUUUGCCUUAAUAUGUGGAAUUUAGAGCACAUGGUGAUCAGUGUACAUAUUUAUUUUAUGGAGAACAAGGACAAUUCAUUCUAAAGAAACUGCUUGUUUGUGUUUUGUAUCAGGACUAAAAGAUCCAGCGAAACUGAUGUCUACUGUUCCGUGUCUAACAACUUCACAAAGCUACACAAUGCAGAAUGUAAGUGUUUUAUAACUGAUGUCUGAGGCUGCACAUCAUGCUUGGCAUCGCAAGCCACCAGUUACAAAAGAAUUAGGACACAAAUCUAUGACAAUGCCAAAACAAGUCCAAUUUAUUGCCAAAUUCUGUGCAUGACCUGGGAAGCUUUAUUAUGCAUUUCUAAGAGACCCAUAUUGUGUGAUCACAGACAGUGCUUGGCAUUUCACAACCGGCAGACCCUUUCUGCCUAUAUAAUAGCUUAAUAUAUAUAAUAGAUCAAGAUGGCGCUGCGAAUGGCAGCCUCGAUAUGGAUCUCUCCAAUUCUUUUUUUAGUCAUUCUUUUCCUAUGAGUUUCACCAGAGAUGAACUACUGGACAUAAGGCAAGACACACCAGACAACAUGUUUUACUGCAGGUUUUUUUUUUUUUUUUUUUUU